AUCCAGCUGACGAGUCCCAAAAAGGACGAAACGCGCGUCCUGGAU
rfam:Schistosoma rodhaini strain Burundi genome assembly, scaffold: SROB_scaffold0007016